UGGGGAAUAUUGCACAAUGGGCGCAAGCCUGAUGCAGCCAUGCCGCGUGUGUGAAGAAGGCCUUCGGGUUGUAAAGCACUUUUGUCCGGAAAGAAAUCCUUGGCUCUAAUACAGUCGGGGGAUGACGGUACCGGAAGAAUAAGCACCGGCUAACUACGUGCCAGCAGCCGCGGUAAUACGUAGGGUGCAAGCGUUAAUCGGAAUUACUGGGCGUAAAGCGUGCGCAGGCGGUUUGCUAAGACCGAUGUGAAAUCCCCGGGCUCAACCUGGGAACUGCAUUGGUGACUGGCAGGCUAGAGUAUGGCAGAGGGGGGUAGAAUUCCACGUGUAGCAGUGAAAUGCGUAGAGAUGUGGAGGAAUACCGAUGGCGAAGGCAGCCCCCUGGGCCAAUACUGACGCUCAUGCACGAAAGCGUGGGGAGCAAAACAGGAUUAGAUACCCUGGUAGUCCACGCCCUAAACGAUGUCAAUUAGUUGUUGGGGAUUCAUUUCCUUAGUAACGUAGCUAACGCGUGAAGUUGACCGCCUGGGGAGUACGGUCGCAAGAUUAAAAACUUAAAGGAAUUGACGGGGUCAUAGCUGUUUCCU
rnacentral:rRNA from 1 species